rnacentral:ncRNA from 2 species
GGCGGACACGCAUGCGUCGGUCGUUAUCCUCGAUCGUCGCCGUCGAGCGGGAACCCGGUGAGAGUCCGGGGCGGUCCCGCCGCCGUGACCGGGUCCGCGGGCCCGGGAGCCGGACCUCGCCGUCGGCGCGGAACCCAC